rnacentral:rRNA from 1 species
CCUACGGGCGACAGCAGUGGGGAAUAUUGCACAAUGGGGGAAACCCUGAUGCAGCGACGCCGCGUGAGUGAAGAAGUAUUUCGGUACGUAAAGCUCUAUCAGCAGGGAAGAAAAUGACGGUACCUGACUAAGAAGCCCCGGCUAACUACGUGCCAGCAGCCGCGGUAAUACGUAGGGGGCAAGCGUUAUCCGGAUUUACUGGGUGUAAAGGGAGCGUAGACGGCAGCGCAAGUCUGGAGUGAAAUCCCAUGGCUUAACCAUGGAACUGCUUUGGAAACUGUGCAGCUAGAGUGCAGGAGAGGUAAGCGGAAUGCCUAGUGUAGCGGUGAAAUGCGUAGAUAUUAGGAGGAACACCAGUGGCGAAGGCGGCUUACUGGACUGUAACUGACGUUGAGGCUCGAAAGCGUGGGGAGCAAACAGGAUUAGAUACCCUUGUAGUC